CAUGUUUUUCUUUCUGGGGGACAGAAAUUUUAUACGGUGGGCCUUGAAGCUGCCUGCUGGGCUAUCUGGCUGGCUCGAAAUCGAGCCACUUUUGAGAAGAAAAUGAUCAAAACUCCUUUUGAGAUUGUCUUUUCUAUGUGUUCUUUCUUGCUUUAUUGGACAGGUCUGUAGCAAGGAGAUGAUGCUAAAAAGCUACGUACAGGCGCAGAGCAGAUCAGGGCGGGGGCUAUGCAGAUGAUGAAGUUGUGCGAGGCUGCCAGGUAG
rnacentral:rRNA from 1 species